UGGGGAAUAUUGCACAAUGGGCGAAAGCCUGAUGCAGCGACGCCGCGUGAGGGAUGACGGCCUUCGGGUUGUAAACCUCUUUCAGUAGGGACGAAGCGCAAGUGACGGUACCUGCAGAAGAAGCACCGGCUAACUACGUGCCAGCAGCCGCGGUAAUACGUAGGGUGCGAGCGUUGUCUGGAAUUACUGGGCGUAAAGAGCUCGUAGGCGGUUUGUCACGUCGUCUGUGAAAUCCUAGGGCUUAACCCUGGACGUGCAGGCGAUACGGGCUGACUUGAGUACUACAGGGGAGACUGGAAUUUCUGGUGUAGCGGUGGAAUGCACAGAUAUCAGGAAGAACACCGAUGGCGAAGGCAGGUCUCUGGGUAGUAACUGACGCUGAGGAGCGAAAGCAUGGGUAGCGAACAGG
rnacentral:rRNA from 1 species